rnacentral:rRNA from 1 species
CCCUUAGAUGUUCUGGGCCGCACGCGCGCUACAAUGAUGCAGGCAACGAGUGCCGCUCCUUAGCCGAAAGGCUUGGGGAAUCUUGAAAACUGCAUCGUGCUAGGGAUAGAUGAUUGCAAUCGUGCAUCUUGAACGAGGAAUGCCUUGUAAGCGUGAGUCAUCAACUCGCGCUGAAUACGUCCCUGCCCUUUGUACACACCGCCCGUCGCUCCUACCGAUUGGAUGGUCCGGUGAACUGGUCGGACUGCUGUUUGAAAUUGCGGGUGCAGUUGAUUCACGGGAAGUCUAGUAAACCUUAUCAUCUAGAGGAAGGAGAANUCGUAACA